CGCGUAGGCGGACAGUUUAGUCAGAGGUGAAAGCCCAGGGCUCAACCUUGGAAUAGCCUUUGAUACUGGCUGUCUUGAGUGCGGGAGAGGUGUGUGGAACUCCGAGUGUAGAGGUGAAAUUCGUAGAUAUUCGGAAGAACACCAGUGGCGAAGGCGACACACUGGCCCGUUACUGACGCUGAGGCGCGAAAGCGUGGGAGCAAACA
rnacentral:rRNA from 1 species